UUACGUCACUUUUGUGAUUGUUUGACUAAGUAUUGUUUGAGUGUGCGUCAAAGAUGGCCACCAACCUUGACCCACACUCAAACAAUMCUUAGUMAAGCAAUCACAAAAGUGUCGUAAA
rnacentral:pre_miRNA from 1 species